rnacentral:rRNA from 1 species
AGGACGAACGCUGGCGGCGUGCUUAACACAUGCAAGUCGAGCGGUAAGGCCUUUCGGGGUACACGAGCGGCGAACGGGUGAGUAACACGUGGGUGAUCUGCCCUGCACUUCGGGAUAAGCCUGGGAAACUGGGUCUAAUACCGGAUAUGACCUCAUAUCGCAUGGUUGGUGGUGGAAAGAUUUAUCGGUGCAGGAUGGGCCCGCGGCCUAUCAGCUUGUUGGUGGGGUAAUGGCCUACCAAGGCGACGACGGGUAGCCGACCUGAGAGGGUGACCGGCCACACUGGGACUGAGACACGGCCCAGACUCCUACGGGAGGCAGCAGUGGGGAAUAUUGCACAAUGGGCGAAAGCCUGAUGCAGCGACGCCGCGUGAGGGAUGACGGCCUUCGGGUUGUAAACCUCUUUCAGCAGGGACGAAGCGCAAGUGACGGUACCUGCAGAAGAAGCACCGGCUAACUACGUGCCAGCAGCCGCGGUAAUACGUAGGGUGCAAGCGUUGUCCGGAAUUACUGGGCGUAAAGAGUUCGUAGGCGGUUUGUCGCGUCGUUUGUGAAAACCAGCAGCUCAACUGCUGGCUUGCAGGCGAUACGGGCAGACUUGAGUACUGCAGGGGAGACUGGAAUUCCUGGUGUAGCGGUGAAAUGCGCAGAUAUCAGGAGGAACACCGGUGGCGAAGGCGGGUCUCUGGGCAGUAACUGACGCUGAGGAACGAAAGCGUGGGUAGCGAACAGGAUUAGAUACCCUGGUAGUCCACGCCGUAAACGGUGGGCGCU